rnacentral:rRNA from 1 species
AUAUUGGUCAAUGGGCGGAAGCCUGAACCAGCCAUGUCGNGUGCAGGAUGACGGCCCUAUGGGUUGUAAACUNCUUUUUUACAGGAAUAAUUGUAUCCANGUGUGGGUAUUUGAAUGUACUGUAUGAAUAAGNAUCGGCUAACUCCGUGCCAGCAGCCGCGGUAAUACGGAGGAUUCGAGCGUUAUCCGGAUUUAUUGGGUUUAAAGGGUCCGUAGGCGGGNUUUUAAGUCAGUGGUGAAAUCCCGGAGCUUAACUCCGGAACUGCCAUUGAUACUGAAGGUCUUGAAUUNAGUUGAGGUGGGCGGAAUACGUUAUGUAGCGGUGAAAUGCAUAGAUAUAACGUAGAACACCGAUUGCGAAGGCAGCUCACUAAGCUAAUAUUGACGCUGAUGCACGAAAGCGUGGGGAGCGAACAGGAUUAGAUACCCUGGUAGUCCACGCNGUAAA